rnacentral:rRNA from 1 species
UGAGGAACAUGACUUUCGGCGGGGGAUAGCCGGCCCAACGGCCGGGUAAUACCGCGUACGACCUUUUGGGGACAUCCCUGAUUGGUGAAAGCAGCAAUGCGCCGAAAGAGUGCCUCGCGGCCUAUCAGCUAGGUUGGGGGGUAAUGGCUCACCAAGGCGACGACGGGUAGCUGGU